CCUGAAGAUUGAAGCUUGCUUCAUGAUUCAGACCUUGGUGAGUGGCGGACGGGUGAGUAACACGUGGGUAACCUGCCCAGAAGUGGGGGAUAACAUUUGGAAACAAGUGCUAAUACCGCAUAACAACUUAGAUCACAUGAUCUUUGUUUAAAAGAUGGUUUUGCUAUCUCUUCUGGAUGGACCCGCGGCGUAUUAGCUAGUUGGUGAGGUAAUAGCUCACCAAGGCGAUGAUACGUAGCCGACCUGAGAGGGUAAUCGGCCACAUUGGGACUGAGACACGGCCCAAACUCCUACGGGAGGCAGCAGUAGGGAAUCUUCCACAAUGGACGAAAGUCUGAUGGAGCAAUGCCGCGUGAGUGAAGAAGGUUUUCGGAUCGUAAAACUCUGUUGUUGAAGAAGAACAUAUGUGAGAGUAACUGUUCACGUACUGACGGUAUUCAACCAGAAAGCCACGGCUAACUACGUGCCAGCAGCCGCGGUAAUACGUAGGUGGCAAGCGUUGUCCGGAUUUAUUGGGCGUAAAGAGAAUGUAGGCGGUUUAUUAAGUUUGAAGUGAAAGCCCUCGGCUCAACCGAGGAAGUGCUUCGAAAACUGGUAAACUUGAGUGCAGAAGAGGAAAGUGGAACUCCAUGUGUAGCGGUGGAAUGCGUAGAUAUAUGGAAGAACACCAGUGGCGAAGGCGGCUUUCUGGUCUGUAACUGACGCUGAGAUUCGAAAGCAUGGGUAGCAAACAGGAUUAGAUACCCUGG
rnacentral:rRNA from 2 species